CGAUUAGUAAUCAAAGGAGGAAGAAGAAGUUGCAAUCUAUGAAAGUUUCACUUAAUUUGUGUUGAGGCUUUGAACCAGUCGAACCAACGUAUGGUUAUCAAGCAAUGAACGCAUCAAUAGGUUAUUCUCGCUUUAGUAGACUUCUGAUGUGGGCAAGGACAUGGGAAUACGAGAGCCUUGAAGACUUGAUGAGUGGGCUCUUAGAAAGAAGCAAGAAACGUGCAGAAGAGGUGUCUGAAAGCAAACACAAAUUAGACACUGCUAUGGAAGCUUUGACAACUUCAAGGGAAACAUGGGAGAAGAAACAUGAUAUGAUACUUGAACUAAGUUCGUCUAUACUCGAAAAAUUGGUGAAUUCUUUCAAACCUUCUCUCCCUUUAAUUUUAAUUCCUUGUAUUGCUGACGAAACUAAUUUUGAUAAGGAUCCACAAUUAAGUCAUGCAUGGAGGAAAAGCAGAAGCAAAGCUAAAAGAUCCAAAUUGAGAAAUCGUAUCAGGGCCAGCAGUCCGCUGCAUUGAACUCAGCGGCCCGCCGAAAGAAGAACAGUGAGGACAAACCAUUCUCAGCGGUCCGCUGUACUGCAGUCAGGGACCGCUGAGGCGAGUCAGACACGACAUUUUAUUUAAGAUCACCUUCUCAAAUUCUUUGGAUUCUACCAAAUUGUUCUUGUGCUCAAUUGUCAACCAACGCAAGGUACAAAGGCAUCCCAAAGGAAUUCCCGCGAUAUGGGAUAACUCAUGAACUUCAAAGAACGUCAAGCUAAAGAUGAAAAAUAAGCGCUUGUUAGGAGGCAACCCAACCAUUUAUUUUCAGCGACCGCUGGAGGCCCCCAGCGACCGUCGCCCAAUUGCAGUUUCCAGCGUGAUUUUCGAAUUUUUCAUAUUUUCGCCCCGUCCAGCAACUACGCGAAAUAUUUUAAGGUGUGUGAAGAUUUUCGCCAGGUCCGGGAAAAGAGGAGGACAGUUGCGUGGACCUA